UACAGAGGUGGCAAGCGUUGUUCGGAAUUACUGGGCGUAAAGGGCGCGUAGGCGGCCUUCUAAGUCAGACGUGAAAUCCCCAGGCUUAACUUGGGAACUGCGUCUGAUACUGGGAGGCUUGGAUGCGGGAGAGGGAUGUGGAAUUCCAGGUGUAGCGGUGAAAUGCGUAGAUAUCUGGAGGAACACCGGUGGCGAAGGCGGCAUCCUGGACCGACAUUGACGCUGAGGCGCGAAAGCUAGGGGAGCAAACGGG
rnacentral:rRNA from 1 species